UACGGAGGGGGCAAGCGUUGUUCGGAAUUACUGGGCGUAAAGGGCGCGCAGGCGGCUGCUCAAGUCAGGCGUGAAAGGCCUGGGCUCAACCCGGGAAUUGCGCUUGAGACUGGGCUGGCUUGAGUGCGGGAGAGGAUGGUGGAAUUCCCAGUGUAGAGGUGAAAUUCGUAGAUAUCGGGAGGAACACCAGUGGCGAAGGCGACUUGCUGGACUUAUGGUGACGCUGAGACGCGAAAGCGUGGGGAGCAAACAGG
rnacentral:rRNA from 1 species